rnacentral:rRNA from 1 species
UACGGGGGGAGCAAGCGUUGUUCGGAUUUACUGGGCGUAAAGGGCGCGUAGGCGGUCAGCACAAGUCAGUUGUGAAAUCUCCGGGCUUAACUCGGAAAGGUCAACUGAUACUGUGCGACUAGAGUGCAGAAGGGGCAACUGGGAAUUCUCGGUGUAGCGGUGAAAUGCGUAGAUAUCGAGAGGAACACCUGCGGCGAAGGCGGGUUGCUGGGCUGACACUGACGCUGAUGCGCGAAAAGCGUGGGGGAGCGAAACAGG